CUAAAUUGGAAUAUCUAGAAUUCUCUUCAUUUCUCUUCAUAUUCAUCAGCUGAAAAACAGCCAUGGAGGAGGGUUCAAGCUGGUUUUCAUACUCUAGCUUCAUAUCAAGAAUCCAAAGAAGAACGAGGAAAAGAAAAAGUUGCGGAAUAGUCCCUAAAUUUCAAUAUCUUCUACAAAUUAGCCGGAUUGACUUGAAGUGAAGUGGGUAGAUCGGAUCAACACAACAAAGCACACUAUCCAGAUCAAUUCCGGUAGCUUUUGUUUUAUGUUUGAAGAUUUAUAUGGCAAGUAUAGAGUUUGAAUGAAUUGAAGUAAAGAUGUUAUAAACUAGUUAACAAUAUUUGUACUAAAACAGUUUUCGGUAAGUAGCAGUAGUUUGACUUUGAAAAAUCACUAAAAAUAGUAGAAAUGGAAUUAAAUAACGAAUAAAUUAUGGAAUCGAAUCUUGAUGAGUCUAUUUUCAUAUGGAAGAAGCAAAAUAGGUA